UUUGUAUAACUACAUAAUUUUAAUUUCUAUCUUACAUCUUUUUUAUAUAAAUGAUAAAUUAUUAUAAAUUAUCAUAAAAAUUAAUAGAAACAUAUUAUAUAUUAUCAUCUUAUUCAAUUUUUUAUAGAUAUCAUUAUAGAUAGAUAUUUUUUUUCAAUCUCAUUACCAAAUAUACUUAUGCAAAUUCAUAUUUUUAUAAAUGCAAUAAAAAAAUGAAACGUUUUUUUUAUUACAUUAAUGAAGAUGAUUUUUAAAUAUAAUAAUGUAUAUUUUAAAUAUGUUAACAUAUUAUAUGUAUCUAUAUAUUUUUGCAUAAUUCAAUUUUCUAAAAGUGCAUCUUAUUCAUUAUUUUUGAUAUGAACCGCAUACAGUACAUUAUAUCAGCAAACGAAAAUAGCUGAACUGCAUUCCUCACGGCAUAGGCGCUGAUAAAACAAACGUCAUUCAAUUAUUUAUACGAGAUCCGAGUCGAUGUAUCCGGUACAAAAUUUCACUGUGAAACAUAAACACGUGGAUGAGGUAUCGUACACACGAUGGAUGAUACCUCAACCGGAAAGACUCCUGGUACUCUGCAACGCUAUCACCAUCCAAGGAGUUGUCCUUGUCUUUAGAGAAACCAUUUACGGGAUCUUGAAAUGAAUCGCUCGCCUUUUAUGAAAGAAGUAACGAAUAUGGAACGAAUCUUAUGCUUUUAGAAACUUGUAAGAAGAUUUGGAUGUAAGGUCUUUAUUGAUUUUGAAAUCUAAUGAACAGUUUAUGAGAAUUUUAUGUAGGAUUUUCAGUCAUGUAAUAUUGAACAAAUUAAAGAUAAUGAGUUAUAAAAAGAUGGAUUAAGAAGUAUUUGAAGGUUAUCAAGAUUCUAGGUUUUGAUGAGAAUUUCGUAAAGAUUUUGUUAUAAUUUCUUGUUCAGCUAAAAAGCUGAUUUAUACAGCUUUUUCUACAGUUUUAUAUAGUGAACUUUAUAUAGAACUUUUAUAGAUGUUUCUGUCAUAUCUUGAAUUAUUUUAAAAAUAAAAUAUUUGUUUCAAUAUUUGUGAUAUUUAUAAUAUUUCAAUAUUUUUAUAAAUCAAGUGAACAAAAAUGAUAAGUGAUUUAUCAUUAAAAGCAAUUUCAUUCGAAAGUUGGCUAAAAGUUCAUCUAUUUACAAAAAAAGAGACAUCCUCCCAGAAAAGAGAUAUAUACAAUAUCCUAUAAAGUUUCCAACUUUUGGAUCAAUAGUAUCGUUAAAAGUUUUAACGUUUUUCUCCUUAACAAUCAUUGAUAAAAAAAGUUUCGGAAUUUUAGAGAUAAAAAUUUAUCAUAUCGAUUUCCGUGCGACUUCCAAGAAAAAAAAUCGAAAUAAAAAUUUAUCAAUUGGAGUACCUUUCGUAGAAAGUUGUAAUAAAAUAACAAUCGAUUCUUCAAAGAAUAUUAGCAAUGUCCAUUGAUUCUUAUGGAUUUUUCUUGAAAAUAUAAUUAUUAUUCCAAUCGUAUUUUCUGCUUAGAAGUAGAAUUUCAGUCAUCAAAGCGAUGCAAGUACUACUCACCUUACCAUCCCACAUGUGAGUGCAAUUUAAUCCCAUAGUCGUAAACAUUCUGUAAAGAAAUAGUAAUCGUUUUUAAUAGCCAUUCAAACUUAAAAACACAUACUUAUGAGCAUUUUUUGUCUUAGGUCAUAAUGUCGAGCAUGUAUGCUGAAAUAAUUAAAGGAUUUUUUUAUUCUCCUUCUUUCUCCUUUUUUUCUGAUAAGUAUUAUUAUAAAUUUAAAUUUUUUUAUUUUAUAAUAAUUAAAAAAUUACAUAUUUAUAAUCUAGUCUCAAUUUAUCUUAAAUUACAGUUAAACAAUUUCUCAAGAUACUAAUAUGUAUACAGAAGAAAAAUCAGGUCUCUUGAUACGUAUACAAUAUAUACAUAACUUUCAUUUGCGUUUUCUGAAUUGAGAGCGGUUCAUUAUAUUCAUAAAUGUAUAUUCAAUUCAAUACCGCAUUUCAUUUAAAAAUUUAUCAAGUGAAUUAAAUGCGAAUGACAAGCUCGGCAACGUGAUGAAUGAAUCAGAAUUGCAUGUAUACAUUAUACUACUUAGACGCGUGUGAAUCAAAACGUUACAUAGGUUACGUAGCUUUACCUAUAGUUAGUCACGAAACGAAUUUACUGUGCAUGUUCUUCGAUCACUUCCUGUAUAGCGCGACGUAACCUCUGUCGCAUAUGAAAUUUGGAAACGGCCAGACUUUGAACGUGUCUACCAUGAAAAAUAAUUUUCUUGCACAGUGUAUACAAGCAGGAUACAAGCUGGAACAAUGUAAUGAAUACGUUAUAUCGUAUUUUAUACCGGUUUUGAAGAUAUGUGUACAACUGUUUUAUAAAAAAGACAAAGAAAGAAAAAGAUUGAUCGUCAUAUAACACGCAGACGGAAUAUGCAUACCUCUGACGCAUAUAAUUUAGUGGCAACAAAUAGAUCUGUAUCUCUUGCUUCUCGAAUGGUUGGCCAUCUGUAAUUUAUUGUCGGUCAAAUUCAGCUGCUUUGCAUAGUCUAACAAUCGAUUUAUUAAUUUAAUCAUCGAUUUAUUAAUGGUCAUUGUUUUGGAAAUUCUUGAAAAUCACGAGCGCCAAGUCGCAGAACAACGAUGACGUCUUUCUGAAUACAAAAGAAGAAUCUCUGCAUCGAUCUUGGAAAGAAUGGUAGUAGAAGGGUGAGAGGAAACAUAUCAGGCAAAGUACCGACAGUCACCUUGACCCAGUUCCCUCUGGGAUAGUCUUGGGAAACGAUGAGGAACGAAUCGAGCACGACCAAUAAUGCAAGAAUUGAUUUUGCGAUAACAAUAGUUGGCUACUGUGUAUAGUCAUAAAGUAACUGGCCUGAUUUUAAAUGGUUCACAUGAUGAUUUUUUUUUUAAAAAACUUAGGCUAGAAAAAGAAAAGAAAAAUCGAUAUACUAAUAAUAUCACGAAAAUUGAAUUUAUUUUUUGCCUCUUUUUUAAAUUUCUUGAUGAAACUGUAAUAAAUGGAGUGUCAGGGAUAGAGAUAAAAUUUUAAUGGAUCAAAAGGUCAAGCAUGAAAUAAAUCAUGAUCGUUUCGCAUCUAGCUUGAGAAAUUUAUAAUAUUGAAUUGAAAGUAAAUCAUUGUUUUCUUUCAAUUAUGUUAAUUAGUCGUGAUAUAUAAUUAGUCGAAUUUUAUUUUAUCAAAGAAUAUUUUAUAUUUAUCAAAAUAUUGUUCUCUUAUAAAUUUAGAGUAGACAUAAUAAAAACUAGCUUGGGUAUAUUAAUAUAAAUUGAAUAAGAAUGAUAGAAGACAUAGAAAGAAAUUAUGCUAUUAUAAAGCUUUAUAAUUAAAUUACGUGAUAAUAUACUUAUAGAUAAUAUAUAGAAAUAUUAACAAUUAUUUUAUAAAUAAUUAAUUCGUAGAAAAAUUUAAUUGACAAACUAAUCAACAUUAUAAAAAGUUUUAAGAAAAAUAUUCUAUUUAUUAAAACUAUUUCACUGACUAAAUCGAAAUUAGUAUUCAUUAUUAUCAUUCGAAUAAUUUCGCUUCUUUAAUUACGUGAAUCGAAUGUCGAAUCAUUGAAAGAUUACAUUUCACCAUAACGUUGUUAUAAGUCUUUCAAACGAGACGUUCACAUUGAUAUUCGUGGAUUAAACAGACUUAUCAAUUCAAUAUUCAAAUUGGCUGUGAAAUCGCGAAUGAAUCACGUAUAAAAGGAGAGAUAGAGUUCACCAGAUAUAUAUAUAUAUACACACACCUAUACUCGUCUCCCACUCAUAUUGAUCAGAGCUGUUUGACCGUGCUUAUAAACGUGUAACCUCGACCUUCAGACGAUUCUUUCUCUCCACUUCGGCCAAAAAGAGCUUCUUCAAGUUUAUACCUACAAUCAAGUUUUACUUAUAUAAUGUGUUUGAAGAAAAUGAAAACAAACUUUAUGAUAAGAAAAUAAUUAAUCGUUAAUGUAUAAAAAUCAUUAAAUAAUUCAGGAACAUGUAAUAAUUAAGAUAUUUGAAAAAUUACAACAAAGAAAAAUUGUUAUGAUUUUAUAUUUACUUAUUGAAAAUUUUUGUUAAGAAUUUUAUUAAUAUUUAAUCGUUAAUUUUAAUAUUUUUCUUCAAAUUUAUAUUGUACAUGAAUAUUGAAUUUAGAAUUAUCGUUAAAGUAACCGCUAAGAAUUAUUUUUCCUACAUAUCAUCCGGACUGGAAAUUAAACGUAUGUUAAUCACAUAGAAUUAUCGAACCUAUAUAUGUAUAUUUAUUAAUCGUAGUGAUUUAAAAAAUCUUGGAAAAAAACACAAGAUAGGUCGGAUAUCAUGAAUCAUCGUGAAUUUUAUCCGCGAAUAUGGGUAUAAUAAUGAUUAUGCAACACAAUUUACGUAUAUCAAAUUACUAUUUUUUGCAAUAUCAAUUCAAGAGAAUUAGAACCGGUUUAACAACCUUUCCAAUCAUAUGUGUCAGAGAUUUUAUCCUCCGUUUGGCCUGAUUAUGCUUAUGCGAUGAUUAAAAAAAAAGAAGUACAUGUGAUUAUUUAACCGCGAAUGGUUAUCUGAUAAAACCGUUAUCACGUCUGUAAACUAGAGAUGGAGGAAGUCGAGCGAUAUCCCACUCGAGUAGGCUCGAUUUUAUGAAGAAUUUCAAGAUUCGUUUCAAUCCUAAUUCUUGAAAAUAUAAAAGUUUAUUUAUAUCAAAAUAUCUUGAAAAAAAAUCCAAAUGCUAUAAUUUUUUAUAUUAGAUUAAAGAUUUCGUUGACAAAAUGUUACACGUAAUAUUAUGCAAUGAUCGAAUUUGCAUCAAAACAUGUUAUAAAUAUCGUAGAACAACCGUAAAAUAUUCUAUAUCUUUUUCCAGUCCAUGAAAAUUUUCAGACUUGGAUCAGAUCAAACUGAAUUCCACGGAUGUUAUCGAGCGAUGUGCUCCGUUGAUUCCGCGUGCAACAUGCGGUAUAUAAUUCCCUUGGAAAGCUAUUCGCGAGUUGGUUAUCGGGAUCGUUUACACGGAAAGUCGAUUUCACGAGCUUCCGGCUCGCGGACAAGCCUCCAACGAACUCCUUAACCCGUUGACAUUCUCUUAUUCCCGAUUUCGAGAUCGGUACACCAACGAUUGUCGAUCGUUCUCACGUCCUCCCUUCCUUCAUAUAAUUGCGUUACACGCUAAUUAAAGUAACGAGUUGCUCGAUCAAAGGGGGCCAAACGCUUUCGUUUGCAUUCAUUCAGGACGAGAUACUCGAAAAAAAUGCGGCCAGACGUUGGUCGGGAAGUUUGUGAAAGAAACUUGCCAACAGGAUAUACAUAUUUGUGUUUCUGGAAUAUUUUUAUCCUCGCAUAGCGAAUUUUAGUGCUUAGUCGUUUUAUAAUAUUGUGAAAAAAAUGUGUAAAAGAUAUUGAAAAAUUGAUUUUUAGACUCUUGAAAUUUUUUAAAAAUAUAACAUAUCUUUUUUUUCCGUUUUUGUAAGGAGAUUUUGAUUGAUAUAAUGAUUUAAUUCAUUCAAACGUGGUCAUCAGUGAUCCUCAUGGGGGCUAUAUCCGGUGAUUCAAUAUCUCUUCCUGACUAAUUUGUUAACCCUUCGACAACGGAUGUGGAAAUUUCAUGUACAAAUUUAACUCUUCUAUUAUAUUUUUAAAAGCAGCAGUAAUAGUUAAAAUUUCUUAUAUAAAUUUCUAAUUUUUUUUUAAUUUUUCUAAUCUUUAAAUACAUAUAAUAUGAAUAAAAAAUAUUAAUUAUUGUUUUAUUAAAAUAUAUAUAUAUAUAUAUAUAUGUUUCAUCUAAGCAAUGAAAAUUUUAAUAAUCGAGAAUUAAGUUUCUUGUGCGAUCUCUAUAUUAAUCUUUAUCAAAGUCGUCAUUUAAAUAAUUCAUAAUUAAUUAU